GAGAAAACCAAAGAGGGGGCGAGAAUGGGGAAGGGGGACAAUGAGGACGGGAGAUGUAUGCUAGUUUUUUGAGGGCCCAGGCAAUCUGAGACUAAAGAGGAAGUUCAACUAAACAGAUCCUUGUCUCUGUGGCUUAGCAUCUGUAUUACCUACACCAUGUCUGAGUUACUGUGUCACAGACAUAGUGGUUGAUUAAUAUAAUUUUUCUUAUAAAAGGUAUCUCCUUUUAUUUGAUUUUUGCCUAAAGACAUUGGUUAAUCAAAUGAUGCUGUUAUAAGUUUUCCAAUAGUACUUCCUCCCAUUAGUGAAGAAGAAAGCGUGGCUCGUAAAGAUGACCGAAAAAUUGGGAAAAAUGUUUAAGUACUUAAAUCUGGUUGUUCAGGGAUGAAGGUAUAAAGUCAUAAAGAAUUUAUUUACUCAGGAGUAAAAAGAAGUUGCUUUGCCUCAGACUAUGAAGAUGUAAAUGUAAGACUCCUAUGUGAAAUGUAAGAAAAAAACAGGAUACACACACAGACACACACACUAUUUAACCAGGAUGGUAAAAUUGAAGAGAAAGUUUGGCUCUUUCUGGAAAAUGGGAAGCUGAAAUAGUUCUGGUUGCUGUGGAGAUUAAAAGUCAACAAGUAACUCCUAUGAGGAAGAAUCAUUGUUCAGUGGUGGGAGGGAGACAGAUUGGAGCCAACCCCAAAGUUCCAAGCGAUGGCUCAUACUCCUGAAGAGAACUUGAUAUUUCCAACGUUUGAGAUUUCUGCAUACUCCAGUGGGUCCUUGGAGAGAGGCCUGCAGAGGGAAUCUGUCUUCAUUUCACCUUCAAUAGAGUUACUGCAUGUUCAGAGAUGUAUUUGAGUGUAAACUGUAAGACAAGUAAAACAUACACUCACACCUAUUCACAUAUACACAUAUAUAGAACAUAAAUAAGCCAGGAGAACAGAGAUAUUAAUAUCUAACAUAACUGCACACUAGCUAUGUAGUAGGUCCAAUUAUUUGCCUCUCAAAAACACAUUACAUCCCUACUUCAGUAGUUAGAUUAGGCUUAGUAACUCAUACGCAAAUGAAUCUAUUUAUUGUUUAUGUAACAAAUCAGAGUCUAGGUGCAGGCCAAUAGGGCAAGUCUCCUCCAUGACUUACUUCAUGGGCUUGGACUGAUGAAAACUUUCUUAUCAUUAACAUGCAGCUUUCAAAUAGAUAUCAACACCCCAGUCAGCUAGAAAAGAAAAGAGCAUUGAGGGGCACAGAGGUCUGCACAGUUAUGCUUGGAAGUGGCUCAUGUGCUUUCCACUUAUUUUCCAUUGUUGAAAACUUAAUCACAUGGUUAGAACUACCUACAUGGGAACUAAUAUAAUCUAGUUGUAUGUCCAGGUAGAAAGGAGGCAGCUAGCAGUCUCUGCUCCAUUUACAAAGAACACACCUUGUGCAAACCCAGUCAUUCGUGAUAUAUAUUGACAGAAUAAAUAUUACUGUCUGUAAUUUUCAUAGGAAUCAUCUUAUGCUAUCCAUGGAGAUGGAGGCCAUGUGUAUUCACUGAACAUGUCACAUAGUAGAUUCUUAUUUUUUGUUUAAUGGAUGGAUAAAUACACAAACACCCAACAUAGAUCACAUCUCUUUUAUUUUUAUUUAACUUUUUAGAAACGUUGAGUUUACAAGAAUAUGCUCUGCAGCCUAGACACGAUAGAGUGGUCCCAACUCAAGACCAGGAAGCAAAGGAUUCUUCUCCUUCAGAAUACUUCCCCGGCGUCUCUUCUGUAGACAAGCUGGCUGGUGCUGGUAAGGAGGGACGGCUUAAUAGAAUGCAGAGGGAAGUUGGGAUGUAGGCAGAGCCCAGAGAAGAGCUGAGUGAUUCUGCCCAGUAGUCAAUACAAGGCUGCCCAGUACCGAAACAAUUUGGUGAAUGCCUAACAGUUAAGUCGUGAGGCCUUAGUGUCAAUAUUCUAUCUCUUGACCCCUUCAGAACUCAAUCAUUCAUACUUGUUUCAUCUGAUGCAGUUUUCUACUUGUAUGUUACUAUACACUUGGCCAUACACAUUCUUCAUUUAUUUGGCUCUUCGCAAAGUUCCGUAUUCUGAAAGCUCAUGUAUUCUUUGUCUUACAUCCUUUGAUUUUUCACAUCUUUGUGUUCUCUCAUUAUUCCCUUAUAUUUUACAAACAAACUAAUUUGACUAGUCUCAAAGCGAGUAUUUACAAUAAUAACAUUGCACAUCUAAACCACAUUAAAAUAUGUAAAACACACAAAUCUAUAAAUAUAAGACAUGUAAUCUAGACACAUAGGUAUGUGCUGAACUAACACACAGACACAAAGAACACAUACCAUCCUCAUUCAAACACAACUCACUCCAUAUUCAGAUUUCCAAACCAAAAGAAUCACACAUUAACCCUAACCUAGUUUUAACCAACAUGUUAUGAGUUUACACAUGUGAAGCACAUCACAUUCACUAUACCAUUUUUCUGCAAAUGUGCAUAAUACAUCUACCAGAAGCAUUCAUGAGACAUGACGAUAAUCUUAAACAGUUAAAUAAUGAGCUACGAGCCUGGUUAACCUUGAGACAGGGACAGUGGCAUACUUAUAAUCAAUAGUGUAUUUCUUCAAAAAUGAAAAUUUACCAAUUGUUUCCUUGGAGAUUGUGAAUCUCUGAGAGGUGGGAUAUAGGGGAUGAAAGUGUGAAAGAUGUAGAGGAAGGCAAAUGGUACCAAAAAUCUUCACCAAGGUUUGUAAGUAUGAGCAACCUUGAUGGCGAGAUCCAGAUAGAAGCACAGAAUACUGAAACAUGCCAAUUGUCUGCCGAAGCUAAAGAUAAGUGUUCAGAACAAAAUAAGUCUUUCCAUGGGGCUGGGGCAGAGUGGAGUAGGUUGGGGAGAAGAGUGUAGGAGA
rnacentral:lncRNA from 1 species